UACAGAGGUCUCAAGCGUUGUUCGGAUUCAUUGGGCGUAAAGGGUGCGUAGGUGGCAUGGUAAGUCGGAUGUGAAAUCCCGGGGCUCAACUUGGAAAUGGCAUUGGAAACUACCUUGCUCGAGGUUUGGAGGGGGGACUGGAAUACUUGGUGUAGCAGUGAAAUGCGUAGAUAUCAAGUGGAACACCAGUGGCGAAGGCGACCACCUGGACUGAUACUGACACUGAGGUGCGAAAGCGUGGGGAGCAAACAGG
rnacentral:rRNA from 1 species